ACCUUUUUAUUACAAAAAUUUGAGCUUUUUAAAUCUUUAUGUUAACCUCUACUUGUAUUUAGUUCUAGAAAAAACCCUACUCGUAUUUGUAGAGAUUUAUUAAUAUUGAGUUAGUCAUAUACGUUAAUGUCAAUACAAAGUAAAUAAUUUAUUCAUAUGUGCAAUUUCAUAUCAGUUAUAAUCGAAUGUGAUUGGUGAAAAUAUAUGUAUGUAUGUGAUUAUGCUCUUUCGCGGUAAGCACACCAUCAUCCCUUUUACCACUCAUGCGCAGAGCGUCGCGUGGUAGACGCGAGAAACGCGACAGCUGCAGCCCUCCGAAAUGUUAUUACUUUUUCGGCUCUCAAAUAUGGAUGUGUUUCAGUAGCAUAGUGGUAUCAUGCUAUGUUCCACUCGUCUUUGGUCAUGGAUUCAAGUCUCUUGAAACGUGUUUUGCGAGUUUUUUGUUCGCCCUCAAAAUCGUUGCUACGGCUCUGCUCAUGCGUCCGACAUGUACAAAGAUAUCAGGUUGUGGAUGCUUGCCAGCUAUACACGGACGGGCUUAGAUCUAUGCAGACUUGGUUUCCUUGGGCGUGGGGAGGUUCUGAUUGUCGUACUUAGCUGGGCCUUGGGCAGCGGCCUAACAAGAAGGCGUUUUGCGGCGCAUGUUGGGCUGAAGUUGGUGUAUGGUUCCAUCCGGCGAUCGUUUAGCAACAUGGUGUGAACUGAGUGUCACGAAGUGAGAUGCAUUUUGCUGAGCCUAUAGGUUCACCUGAGUGAGCACAGACAUGUAAGAUUCCCCUGAGUUUGGCAUCCAGAGUGGUGGGAGCACUUGCUGCAAGGUUCAUGUGCAGAGUAGUGUAGAGAACGUUCCCUACCUCGGUGGUAUAGAUUCUAACAAUCAGUGGCGAGGUCAGUUUAACUAUUAAAUUCAAGUUGACUCUUUCUCACUAUAUUUCAAGAUUAGCAGUUAUUUCCCCGAUAUUUUGUGUGCCUUUCUUCUAGGUGUGGACGUUCGGGUACCCAUUCGGGUUUCGGUUCAGGUCUAUUUGGAUUUCGGGUUUUUGGGAUCAAAGAAUUCUGCCAUAUUUGGAUAUUUUUAUACUUCGGUUUGAGUUCGAUUCGGAUCCUUGCGGAUUCGGUUCGGGUUCGGAUAACCCAUUUAAAUUAUUUUUAAAAUUUUAAAAUU